GGGACGUGGGGCCCAGACUGGCGGCGCUCGUGGGCCCUGUGGUCUCUGGUCCGGGCUGACGGUCUUCCAAACCCUCUUCUACCUGGUGUACGUCUGGAGGAUCGACUGGAACCGUGCGGCAGAGCAGAUCUGUCCAACCUGGAGAAAGAAGCACUGGCUGGGGCCAUCCUGCUGGACCUCACCUGACCCAAGAGCCAGACUGCGCAGCUAAUCAGGGCAGCCCCUGCCAUGACGUCCUGAUGGGGACUCAGCUGACUGUGUUAGGGCCGAGCGGCUGCAGUUUUGGCUGUUGCUGUCCUCGCAGUGGGAAUUUUAAUAAGACUCUUCACUGACCAUGGCUGAAAUGGAAUCAUCCCAGCCCCAAACUACCAGUGAGAACAAUAUGCCACACGUGCCGCAUGGGAG
ensembl:lncRNA